CUCGCCAUAGUUCAACGGAUAGAACAGAUGCCUCCUAAGCGUCAGAUUUGGGUUCGAUUCCCGAUGGCGGGACCA
rnacentral:tRNA from 1 species